rnacentral:rRNA from 1 species
GAUCCUGGCUCAGAACGAACGCUAGCGGCGUGCCUAACACAUGCAAGUCGUACGAGAAAUCCCGGGCAACUGGGAGAGUAAAGUGGCGCACGGGUGAGUAACGCGUGGGUAAUCUACCUUGGAGUUCGGAAUAACGCCUCGAAAGGGGUGCUAAUACCGGAUAUCGUCCAGGGGUUUCGGCUCCGGGGAUGAAAGAUGGCUGAGGCUUGCAAGCUAUUGCUCCAAGAUGAGCCCGCGUACCAUUAGCUAGUUGGUGGGGUAACGGCCCACCAAGGCAAUGAUGGUUAGCUGGUCUGAGAGGAUGGCCAGCCACACUGGAACUGAGACACGGUCCAGACUCCUACGGGAGGCAGCAGUGAGGAAUCUUGCGCAAUGGGGGCAACCCUGACGCAGCAACGCCGCGUGAGUGAUGAAGGCCUUCGGGUCGUAAAGCUCUGUCAGGCGGGAAGAAAGUUUUCAGGGUGAACAAUCCUGGAGAUUGACGGUACCGCCAGAGGAAGCACCGGCUAACUCCGUGCCAGCAGCCGCGGUAAUACGGAGGGUGCGAGCGUUGUUCGGAAUUAUUGGGCGUAAAGAGCGUGUAGGCGGCCUCGUAAGUCAGAUGUGAAAGCCCUUGGCUUAACCAAGGAAGUGCAUUUGAAACUGCCUGGCUUGAGUACGGGAGGGGAAAGCGGAAUUCCCGGUGUAGAGGUGAAAUUCGUAGAUAUCGGGAGGAACACCGGUGGCGAAGGCGGCUUUCUGGACCGAUACUGACGCUGAGACGCGAAAGCGUGGGGAGCAAACAGGAUUAGAUACCCUGGUAGUCCACGCCGUAAACUUUGGGCACUAGGUGUUGCGGGUAUUGACCCCUGCAGUGCCGAAGCUAACGCAUUAAGUGCCACGCCUGGGGAGUACGGUCGCAAGACUAAAACUCAAAGGAAUUGACGGGGGCCCGCACAAGCGGUGGAGUAUGUGGUUCAAUUCGACGCAACGCGAAGAACCUUACCUGGGUUUGACAUCCCGAGAAUCCCGCAGAAACGCGGGGGUGCCUCUUCGAGGAACUCGGUGACAGGUGCUGCAUGGCUGUCGUCAGCUCGUGUCGUGAGAUGUUGGGUUAAGUCCCGCAACGAGCGCAACCUUUGCCUUUAGUUGCCAGCAUUGAGUUGGGCACUCUAAAGGGACUGCCGGUGUUAAACCGGAGGAAGGUGGAGAUGACGUCAAGUCCUCAUGGCCCCUAUGUCCAGGGCUACACACGUACUACAAUGGCCGGUACAAAGGGCUGCGAACCCGCGAGGGGGGGCUAAUCCCAGAAAGCCGGCCUCAGUUCGGAUCGGAGUCUGCAACUCGACUCCGUGAAGUUGGAAUCGCUAGUAAUCGCGGAUCAGCAUGCCGCGGUGAAUACGUCCCCGGGCCCUGUACACACCGCCCGUCACACCACGAAAGUUGAUUGUACCAGAAGUCGGCUAGCUAACCUUGAGCAAUCGAGGGGGCAGGCGCCUAAGGUAUGGUCAAUGAUUGGGGUGAAGUCGUAACAAGGUA